rnacentral:tmRNA from 1 species
GGGGGCGAACGGGUUCGACAGGAUCGGUUCGAUUCAGAGUUGCGAGCCGAGGUGCCGUUGGCCUCGUAAAAAGCGGCAAAAAAAGUAAAAGCGAAUAACAACUUCGCCUACGCUGCUUAAUUAAGCGCGUCGUCGGACUGACUUGAGCCGAUAAGGUCAGUAUCCGGUGUAAUCAAAUUCGGAUCGGCGGUUUGGGCUUCUGUUCGUAGCCUGACCGUCUAAACCAAUCGAACUGGGCGGGAAGCCAGCCGACCUCGGGAGAGGCCCUCGCCAAGAAAAGUACAGAGGAGACGCUCGUGGUGACUGUGGGUCUGCGGUUUUGGAAGAGAGUUCAAUUCUCUCCGCCUCCACCA